GCAUAUCAAUAAGCGGAGGAAAAGAAACCAACAGGGAUUGCCUCAGUAACGGCGAGUGAAGCGGCAACAGCUCAAAUUUGAAAUCUGGCCUCGUGCCCGAGUUGUAAUUUGCAGAGGAAGCUUUAGGCGCGGCACCUUCUGAGUCCCCUGGAACGGGGCGCCAUAGAGGGUGAGAGCCCCGUAUAGUCGGAUGCCCAGCCUGUGUAAAGCUCCUUCGACGAGUCGAGUAGUUUGGGAAUGCUGCUCAAAAUGGGAGGUAAAUUUCUUCUAAAGCUAAAUACCGGCCAGAGACCGAUAGCGCACAAGUAGAGUGAUCGAAAGAUGAAAAGCACUUUGAAAAGAGGGUUAAAUAGCACGUGAAAUUGUUGAAAGGGAAGCGCUUGUGACCAGACUUGCGCCGGGCUGAUCAUCCGGUGUUCUCACCGGUGCACUCUGCCCGGCUCAGGCCAGCAUCGGUUCUCGCGGGGGGAUAAAGGUCUCGGGAACGUAGCUCCUCCGGGAGUGUUAUAGCCCGGGGCGUAAUGCCCUCGCGGGGACCGAGGUUCGCGCAUCUGCAAGGAUG
rnacentral:rRNA from 1 species